AGGUGGUGCAUGGUUGUCGUCAGCUCGUGUCGUGAGAUGUUGGGUUAAGUCCCGCAACGAGCGCAACCCUUAAGCUUAGUUGCCAUCAUUAAGUUGGGCACUCUAAGUUGACUGCCGGUGACAAACCGGAGGAAGGUGGGGAUGACGUCAAAUCAUCAUGCCCCUUAUGAUUUGGGCUACACACGUGCUACAAUGGACAAUACAAAGGGCAGCGAAACCGCGAGGUCAAGCAAAUCCCAUAAAGUUGUUCUCAGUUCGGAUUGUAGUCUGCAACUCGACUACAUGAAGCUGGAAUCGCUAGUAAUCGUAGAUCAGCA
rnacentral:rRNA from 1 species